rnacentral:misc_RNA from 1 species
GAAGUCUGUCCAGUGUUACGAGGGUAGGCGAGGUGGGGCAGGUCUUUGUAACAUGUAACCACCAAACAGCGCGUGCAGCUCCACCAUCGGGCUCACGGUUGACGGACUGCACGUUCGGCCUGAUCGACACACACCGAGUUAAUAGAAAAUAUAGCAGGAAACAGUGUGAUUCACACAGGAACAAAACAAUUAUGGAAAGAAAAGUGACAGCCAGGCUUCCCGUCUUCUGAGAAUACUCCGAUAAAGUGGAGAACCAAUCGUGAGGCUGAGUACAAAUAUGCCAACAGAUGUGAGCAGUCAUAAUCACUCUUGUAAAACACAAGAUGCACUAACAGAUAAAUUGCUGGAGAAAGAAAGCAUUUCACAGCUCUGGUCAUUGCUGAUUGCAGUCCACUCCUUUUUUUCUUGGAAAUACACACCAAAAGAAAAUGCACGUUUUUCGUGAAAAUAGUUCCACAGAUGUUAGUGCAGACUUCUACGCAACAACAAUUUCUAAAGCGGAUUCUGCUGACCAUAUGCACCAAUGGCUGUAUUACUACAUCGACACGGCAGGCAGUGUACCCGUAUCAUUGCUGGGUAUUGUGUGUAACCUCGUGUCACUGACCGUGUGGAACACCCAGACCAAGUACAGCGCCUCCAUCUUCCUGUUCAAGUAUCUGGCCGUGUGGGACACCACCUUCCUCGUCUUGUUCAUCCCCGUGUUAUUGUUUUAUUAUAAAGACACUGACAGUUCACUGUCCAUCACAUUAAAUACUUUAUCCUGUCUUCCUCGACUAGUGUCUGUACACACGACUCUACAGAUAGCAGUGUGUCGCUGGCUGGGUGUGUACCGACCUCAACAGGUUUACAACGGACGUCUUCUACCACGACGCCAGGUCCUCGUCGGGUGUCUAGUCAUCUUUGUCUGGUGUCUGGGGAUCACGCUCUAUUUCACCUAUUUCCAGUUGUGGGUAAAAACUGCUUCAUUUGACAAAAUAUACGAUGUACAAGUCAUGGCCGUCAGCAUUGUCAUUUUGUCAGUACUCAGCCUCGUGUUCCCCAUUCUUCUACUCGUCGUCUUCAACGUUCUCCUUAUUAUGAAACUGCGCUCAACAUCAUCACCAGUUUCUUCUUCAUUUUCAAGACAUCAGCAACACCCGGGUAGGUGGGGCAGCAGCCGACGUCUGACGCUGUCCGUGGUGUUGAUGUCGCUGUGCACUGUGUUGUCGUAUCUCGUUGGAGAGAUAUUUCAUGUUAGUUACAGGUACUGGAACAUGUUUCAAAUGGACUUAAGACACGAUGAGUUGGUAAACUUUCGCAAUAUUUAUUCCGCCAUCCAGCUCCUGCAGCAGAUAAACUCUGGCAUCAACAUCGUCUUCUACUUGGCGUUUUCGUCCAAGUUCCGCACAGCUCUUUACAAGUAUGUGUCCGAGUGUCUAGCCACGCUUCAUUCGUAAUGGGAAAAAAAAUUUCCCUUAUUGAACUUUAUGCACAAUUAUUUUUAUUUCUAAAAGUUAAGAUUUGAAGAUCUAAAGAUUCACGGUUGAGUUGCUAAAGGCAAUGUUAAUGUUAAUGAUAACGAUGAGAAGAAAUUCAAUUAUUUAAGGAGAGACAUUUCUGCACACAUCUUGAGGGAGGCAGUCUGUCGUCCCCACGACUGAGAAGACUCGUCAGAGAAAACUGAUGUUGGCAAGAAGGCAAAGGAGGGAAAUGAGAAUGAAGGUGGAAUACGUGUGAGAAAAAGAAGGAUGGUGUUAUAGAUCAGUGGAUCAAGGGAGGUUUGAGUGAAUUCUUUUACUGCUGCUCCUUCCCAAGUGGACAUUUAUGACAAGAGAGGAAAGUUGAAUAGAGGUCAGUAUGACACAAGAGCGCGAGCGCACGAGCACAUUCCACGUCCGCAUUGCCAGAGAUCGCAAGGAAAUAAGACUCCCUUCCUCUCUCACUAUCUAUCUCUCACACACACACACACGCGUAGAUCAAUCGUAAAAUCAUGUUAAAAAAUCUUAUAAAAGACUAAGGCUAGGGACAAAGUUCCAGGCCUCGCUCUACUGUGAUGUGAACGUCUAACAAAAGCCAAGAAUGAGGACAAGGUCUUCAUUUGUAUCGUUCACUUCUACAAUCGGCGUGCAUGAAGAUAGUGCUUUGAAAACACUUGCUUACACCAUGUUGAUUGAAGAUGAAUUUUUGUCUGCAUCGCAUUCUUGAAGCUGAUCUCCAACUGGCUUGAUCUUCUUACUGCAUCUUUCUCUACGAGAAACUGGCCAUCGCCACAUUGUGUGCUGGUUAUGUCACAUCACCGCCCCAUCUUCGUGUUUUUUUCUUCAUUGGACUGUUAUUUGAUGUUCCUGGGCAGUGCAGUGAGCUUGUCUUGACGACAGGGAGGCACACUAUAAGUGCACUCUCAUUACUGCCAAGCACUUUUGAGUCCUACUGCUGCUGAAGAAAGGCGUAUAUAAAUGUGAUUAUUAUAUAUAUAUAUGAGUCACCAAGUCAUUUUUCGAUCACCCCGAGCAAUGCCGGAUACCCCUGUUAUUAAUAUCCAUAAUAAAUGUCCAUCUUGAUACUAUACCUAUUCAUAUACGUACAUUACGUGUUUUCGCAAAACAUUUAAAACUUUAAUAGACUUGUACUGUUAUAGUUCACACUUACUAAUACACUGUCCCCAGAAUAUUACAUGAUGAUCUCUACCCAGAAAAGUGAAUCUGUUUCUCUUUCUUACUAUCUCACAGUAUUACACUAAAACACCUUUUAUACAUACAAAAACAAAACCUCACAGUUAUGUUAAUAUUUGCAUGACAAUCCUUGCCAGUUGUACAUCCACACGUAGCCAACACGACUGCUGCUGAUAUACUUGUCAAACAUUUUACAUAUUUGUACUCUUAUAUUUGCACUCUAAAUAUCCUCCGUCUCUAGCAAACGUGUCUUCGAAAAAUAAAUUGAAAAGCACUUGCUUAAAUUGUAUUAUUUUACAGAAUAUUUAAAGAAGUGAUUCAUUCUUGUACGUAAGAAUGUACAGUAUAUUUAAAAGUUAACUUGGCAAUAAACUUUUCGUUGUUACUAAUCAUGGGGCCAGUUUCACCACACAUAAUCAACACCUUAUUUUGUUGAUUUAGUUUAGGUAAACAAUGCUUUCACACAUAUACACCAGGCUGGAAGCAAGCGAUUCUAAACACGUACAUUUUUACAUAUGAAGCAACUAGUUCUGCAAAAUCUAUCUUCGUAGUGAUAAUGUGGACAUCAACGACCUCCUGACGAUUUUAUCGACGUUCUUAACCUUUGACCGAUCUAUUCUGCUUUUGACAACUGAACCUAGGAGCUGUAUAUCAAAGCUGUGAUCCAUCAACACCA